rnacentral:rRNA from 1 species
ACGAACGCUGGCGGCGCGCCUAACACAUGCAAGUCGAACGAGCGAGAGGAGGUUUACUUUCUCAAGCGAGUGGCGAACGGGUGAGUAACGCGUGAGGAACCUGCCUCAAAGAGGGGGACAACAGUUGGAAACGACUGCUAAUACCGCAUAAGCCCACGACCCGGCAUCGGGUAGAGGGAAAAGGAGCAAUCCGCUUUGAGAUGGCCUCGCGUCCGAUUAGCUAGUUGGUGAGGUAAUGGCCCACCAAGGCGACGAUCGGUAGCCGGACUGAGAGGUUGAACGGCCACAGUGGGACUGAGACACGGCCCAGACUCCUACGGGAGGCAGCAGUGGGGAAUAUUGCACAAUGGGGGAAACCCUGAUGCAGCGACGCCGCGUGGAGGAAGAAGGUCUUCGGAUUGUAAACUCCUGUUGUUGAGGAAGAUAAUGACGGUACUCAACAAGGAAGUGACGGCUAACUACGUG